GGGAAGGGAAAGGCGGGGCCCAUAGGACUGUUGAGGAAUCAGCUCUAACUGAUGAUUGCCAAUGCAGAUAAAGCACUGGCAGAGUUUUCCAGCUUCUCAACAGAAGCAGAAGUCCAAGUGAUGAGGUUUAAGCUGCAAAGACGUAUUACAUAAGAACAAGGGAAGCUGCUUUAUGGCACGCUGGUGAAGGAUCCUGCUGAUUCCUCCUGAGCGGCUCUCGACUUCCUUUAUGGCAUCAAAGGCCCCAGAAACUGUUAGUGAAGAUGACGUGGAGGAGGGGAUAAUUUUUCUGUUUCCUGAGGUGCCGUUUCUCCUUGUAUGCUUGCUGCUCCUUCCUGCAUCUUCGAGGUCAACCACAGAACAUCUUCAAGUCUCUGCUUCCAUCAUCACAUUGCCUUCUGUCCCUCUGUUCUUCUGGCCACCCUCUUAGGAGGACACCUGUGACACAUCAUAUCUACCCAGAUAAUCCUGGAGACCCUCUCCACCUCAAGAUCCUCUAUGUAGUCCCAUCUGCAGAAUACCUUUUGCCAUAUAAGGUAACAUAUCCACAGAUUCCAAGGAUUAGGACGUGAACGUCUCUCUUUGGGAGACAUUGUUCAGCCUACCACACUACAGAUAUCCUAUGAAGUAGUUACAUAAAGCCCAUUUUUAAGUGAAGAAACCGAUAUUCAGAGGGUUUCUUAACUUGCUUCUGUCAGACACUGUUUUAUUCAAGUAUCUGACCAACAUUUACUGAGUGUUCUCUUUGUGGCAGACACUAUAAUUAGUAUUAAACAAAGUGCAGGAAAGUCUACUUGGAGGAGCUAAGUGGGCAAAGUAAACAGUUAUUUAAAAAUUUGCAUAGAUACAAACAUAGUGUUGGAUAGGAAAGGAACACAGUAUUGGGAAAGAAAACUAACAGCAAAGGGAGGAGGGAGUUGAGGAGAAGCCUUCCUUGAGGAAGUGGAAUUUGUGCCAAGAACUGAAGAUACAAGGGAGAAGACAAAGCAGCAGGAACAGCGUUUGAUACUGAAGGGACAGCAAGUGCAAAUGCUCUCCAGUGGUACGCUCCGUGCAGCCACCAGAACACCAGUGUGGCUAGAACAGAUGUUGACACUUACGCUGAUGAUGCAAAAGCGACAGCGGGGGCCACUCGAGCCAGCGGCAGCAGACCCAACAGCUUGCUGGCAGGUCCCUUCCCGCCACAUGCUUGCAAUAAAGAAGGAGGAAAAAAUCAAUUUCAUUUAAGAAUGUCUUCGGUGAAGCAGUAAAAAUGAUUAAUUUUAUUAAAUCUCAACCCUUGAAUACAUGUCCUUUCAAUAUUUUCUGUGAGAAAAUUAUACUUCACAGAGCAAGCGGUUGAGUAGCUGAGUGCCGC
rnacentral:lncRNA from 1 species